CAUAGGUUUGGUCCUGGCCUUUCCAUUAGCCCUAGGUAAAACUACACAUGCAAGUAUCCGCACCCCAGUGAGAAUGCCCUCUAAAUCAUACUUGACCUAAAGGAGCAGGCAUCAAGCACACUACUAAGUAGCUCAUAACGCCUUGCUUAACCACACCCCCACGGGAUACAGCAGUGAUAAAAAUUAAGCCAUGAACGAAAGUUUGACUAAGUUAUACCUACCUUAGGCUGGUAAAUUUCGUGCCAGCCACCGCGGCCAUACGAUUAGCCCAAGUUAAUGAAAGCACGGCGUAAAGCGUGUUUAGGAGUAUAAAAAAAAUAAAGUUAAACUCUAACUAAGCUGUAAAAAGCCCUAGCUAAAACAAAAAUAGACUACGAAAGUGACUUUAUGAGUUUCCGAACACACGAUAGCUAAGACCCAAACUGGGAUUAGAUACCCCACUAUGCUUAGCCCUAAACUCAAACGACCAUCACAACAACAUCGUUCGCCAGAGUACUACUAGCAAUAGCUUAAAACUCAAAGGACUUGGCGGUGCUUCACAUCCUUCUAGAGGAGCCUGUCCUAUAAUCGAUAAACCCCGAUAAACCUCACCAACCCUUGCUAAUCCAGCCUAUAUACCGCCAUCCUCAGCAAACCCUAAAAAGGAACUGUAGUAAGCACAAUUAUAAGACAUAAAAACGUUAGGUCAAGGUGUAGCCCAUGAGUUGGGAAGAGAUGGGCUACAUUUUCUUUCCAAAGAACACCCAUUUCAACAUACGAAAGUCCCCAUGCAACAGAGGACUAAAGGUGGAUUUAGCAGUAAAUUAAGAACAGAGAGCUUAAUUGAAUCUGGCCAUGAAGCACGCACACACCGCCCGUCACCCUCCUCAAAUAUAAUAAUGUUGCCCAAACAUAUUAAAAACAUACAAAAUAUAAGAGGAGAUAAGUCGUAACAAGGUAAGCGUACUGGAAAGUGCGCUUGGAUAUAU
rnacentral:ncRNA from 1 species